UACGUAGGGUGCAAGCGUUGCCCGGAUUUAUUGGGCGCAAAGGGCGCGUAGGCGGCUCUGCACGUUCGUUGUGAAAUCGCCCGGCUCAACUGGGCGGGGUCAGCGGAUACGGCAGAGCUUGAGCAAGCUAGGGGGCAAUGGAAUUCCCGGUGUAGUGGUGGAAUGCGUAGAUAUCGGGAGGAACACCUGUGGCGAAAGCGGCGCACUGGACCACAACUGACGCUGAGGCGCGAAAGCUAGGGGAGCAAACAGG
rnacentral:rRNA from 1 species